GACGAACGCUGGCGGCGUGCUUAACACAUGCAAGUCGAACGAUGAACUUGGAGCUUGCUCUGGGGAAUUAGUGGCGAACGGGUGAGUAACACGUGAGUAACCUGCCCUGGACUCUGGGAUAACUUCGAGAAAUCGGAGCUAAUACCGGAUAGGACCUUGCACCGCAUGGUGUGGGGUGGAAAGUUUUUCGGUUUGGGAUGGACUCGCGGCCUAUCAGCUUGUUGGUGAGGUAAUGGCUCACCAAGGCGUCGACGGGUAGCCGGCCUGAGAGGGUGACCGGCCACACUGGGACUGAGACACGGCCCAGACUCCUACGGGAGGCAGCAGUGGGGAAUAUUGCACCAGGGGCGCAAGCCUGAUGCAGCAACGCCGCGUGCGGGAUGACGGCCUUCGGGUUGUAAACCGCUUUUAGUAGGGAAGAAGCCUUCGGGUGACGGUACCUGCAGAAAAAGGACCGGCUAACUACGUGCCAGCCGCCGCUGUAACAC
rnacentral:rRNA from 1 species